CGGACGGGUGAGUAACACGUGGAUAACCUACCUAUAAGACUGGGAUAACUUCGGGAAACCGGAGCUAAUACCGGAUAAUAUAUUGAACCGCAUGGUUCAAUAGUGAAAGACGGUUUUGCUGUCACUUAUAGAUGGAUCCGCGCCGCAUUAGCUAGUUGGUAAGGUAACGGCUUACCAAGGCAACGAUGCGUAGCCGACCUGAGAGGGUGAUCGGCCACACUGGAACUGAGACGCGGUCCAGACUCCUACGGGAGGCAGCAGAU
rnacentral:rRNA from 1 species